rnacentral:sRNA from 1 species
ACACACUUCAAUUAAUGGCCGUGCCAAG